rnacentral:rRNA from 1 species
AACGAACGCUGGCGGCAGGCUUAACACAUGCAAGUCGAGCGCCCCGCAAGGGGAGCGGCAGACGGGUGAGUAACGCGUGGGAAUCUACCCAUCUCUACGGAAUAACGCAUGGAAACGUGUGCCAAUACCGUAUACGUCCUUCGGGAGAAAGAUUUAUCGGAGAUGGAUGAGCCCGCGUUGGAUUAGCUAGUUGGUGGGAUAAAGGCCUAUCAAGGCGACGAUCCAUAGCUGGUCUGAGAGGAUGAUCAGCCACACUGGGACUGAGACACGGCCCAGACUCCUACGGGAGGCAGCAGUGGGGAAUAUUGGACAAUGGGCGCAAGCCUGAUCCAGCCAUGCCGCGUGAGUGAUGAAGGCCCUAGGGUUGUAAAGCUCUUUCACCGGUGAAGAUAAUGACGGUAACCGGAGAAGAAGCCCCGGCUAACUUCGUGCCAGCCGCCGCCGUAACAC